AUGGGAACGCGAAGAACCUUACCUAGACUUGACAUCUUCUGCAUUAAUCGUAAUGGAUGAAAUCCCUUCGGGGACAGAAUGACAGGUGGUGCAUGGUUGUCGUCAGCUCGUGUCGUGAGAUGUUGGGUUAAGUCCCGCAACGAGCGCAACCCCUAUUAUUAGUUGCUAACAUUAAGUUGAGCACUCUAGUGAGACUGCCCGGGUUAACCGGGAGGAAGGUGGGGAUGACGUCAAAUCAUCAUGCCCCUUAUGUCUAGGGCUACACACGUGCUACAAUGGUGGGAACAAAGAGAUGCAAUACCGCAAGGUGGAGCCAAACUCUAAAACUCAUCCCAGUUCGGAUUGUAGGCUGCAACUCGCCUACAUGAAGUUGGAGUUGCUAGUAAUCGCGAAUCAGAAUGUCGCGGUGAAUACGUUCCCGGGUCUUGUACACACCG
rnacentral:rRNA from 1 species